CCUACGGGUGGCAGCAGUGAGGAAUAUUGGUCAAUGGGCGGGAGCCUGAACCAGCCAAGUCGCGUGAGGGAAGACGGUCCUACGGAUUGUCAACCUCUUUUGCCGGGGCGCAACGGGGUCCUUGCGAGGGCCCGAUGAGAGUACCCGGAGAAAAAGCAUCGGCUAACUCCGUGCCAGCAGCCGCGGUAAUACGGAGGAUGCGAGCGUUAUCCGGAUUUAUUGGUUUUAAAGGGUGCGCAGGCGGAGGCACAAGUCAGCGGUAAAAUCGCGGGGCUCAACCCCGCUCCGCCGUUGAACCUGUGUCCCUUGAGUGCGCGAAGGGUAGGCGGAAUGCGUGGUGUAGCGGUGAAAUGCAUAGAGAUCACGCAGAACUCCGAUCGCGAAGGCAGCCUACCGGCGCGCAACUGACGCUCAUGCACGAAAGCGUGGGUAUCGAACAGGAUUAGAUACCCUAGUAGUC
rnacentral:rRNA from 1 species